AAAUUAUAUUAUAAUAGAAGUAUAACUUCUUACGUGCGUACAAAGUACACACACAUUCUUUUUUUUAAUCUUAGGUUCAUUAUAUUUCGAAAUGUAAAUUUCAAUUGAUUUUUCAAUCUUUCUAGUUUUUUUUAGACAAAAACCCAUAGGUAUUUUAAGUAUGCGGUCACCGGUGCCCGUCAUUCUUUCGAAGCUCCGGGCGGGGCGGGUCAUCUGGCCGGCCACAUGUCUGACGACGAAAAUGCAAGAAGUGAAUAAUAGGACUAUUAGUUCAUGCUGUACUUUAUGGCUUUAUUGCUUUAGUAAAUAUCAUAAUCAUAACUAUUGUUAGACUAGUUGUGCGCAACUUGUAGAGACAAGAAUAAAAUAAUCCAAAAUGAAUUGCCACAAAAAAAGCCAUAAACUAAAUUGCUGGGAUCAGGUUUAUGACCCAUCUUCUAAUCCUACUCCCCUAAUUCCAAUUCCAGGUAACCGCCGCAAAGAGGUGAUUCAUCGUAACAGAUAAGCAUUACAAGAUAUCAAAAUUUUCAAAAUACUAUUUCGAGUAUUUGAGAUACAAAAUACUUUCGCCUCUGGUUUUUCAAAUACAAAAUUCAUUAGCGUAUUUUAAAUAGUAUUUGAAAUACAAUGUAUUUCAAAUACGCCCCAACUCUGAAAAUGCAUAACUACUUGUAUUAUGUAAAAAUAAAGAACAGCGUUAUAAAAUGACAAAUAGUGAACUCAUUCUUUAAAACGACAUUGCAAA
rnacentral:lncRNA from 1 species